UCUUAUUCACCCAAGUUUUUUUUUUGAAUUGUUGAAAAGGAUUGGUGAAUCUAGCAUCGAUCUCAGAAAUAGAGAGGACUUUUUAUUCUUUUUGUACCUUUUAAAGAUCCCGAAGAGCUUCCCAAGUGGAACUAUGAUGGAUGUAGCAUAUGCCAUGCUCAUGGAGAAAAGUGUUAAUUGAUCAUAUUGAUCUGGUUUGCUGGAUAGGGACAGCUCGGAAUGUGGACCACCAUUGUAUGCAUCUCCUAAUUCACGUAUUCAACUUAGUCACAUAUAGCCACAGGUUCAGUUGGAUGCUAUUUUGUGCGGUAUUGGAACUACACUUGGAGAACUUCCUCUAUAUUUCAUAUCUAGGACUGGUACCAUGGUUCCUGCAAUCAAGAUGGGGCGGCGGAAGAGAGCAACAAGUGGCAACGUAUUUUCAGCCUCUGAAGCAUGUCCACGUUCUCUGAUAAGACGCAGCCACCAGAUGAUACGCAAACAAUGGUGGAGGAGACGCAGCUAGGUGGCGUGGGGCAAAAAAGGUCAACUCGUGUACGAGGACCUACAUUAGGCAAAGGAGUACAAAAAAAAAUACCUCGGAAAAAGGAAGAGAAAUUACAUGUGUAUGUCAAUCGAGCGUUGAAUGCAAUCACAGGAGGGAACGGCACCCCAGCGACGAAUGAGUUGGGAUUGCAAAUUAGACGGUUGUGCCCUCUUCAGAGCGUGAAGUCAUGGAGAAAAAUCGAUCAAAGUACCAAAGAUGCGGUCGUUCAAGCGGUGCUAAUAGGAGAUUCAUCUUGCCAUAAAUUAAUUGUAAUUGC